AAGGACUUCAACUCUAUCAAAACAUGUUCUUGUAUAGAUGGCGUGGUGCACCAGGAGACAGGUGGAAGACCACCUGUUAAGCAAACAAAGAGAACUACAGAAAAACAUGAUGAUAAUGAUGAUGAUAGACAGGAGCCACACUCAACUUUAGGAAGCUCAGCUGUUGACCAACCAAAGAGAACUGCAACCACAAGGCAAGCUGAUGGUGACGAUGAAGAUAGCAGUGACUCUGAGUAUGAUGAAAAGGACAGAAAAGGAUGUGUUAAGAGGCCAAAGAAAGCUGUACAUAAACGAAAGCAUCAAGGCGAUGAUGACUGGGAUGGAGAGGACAGACAGACUAAUGCCACCAGAUCCCCUCAGAAGGGCCGAAAGAAGACUGCAGUUACAAGAGAACGCAGUGAUGUUGAUGCUCCAGAAGUGGAAGUUGAGAAACGAGGUAAGAGACCCUGGAAUGACCAGGAGAGGACUGCAGUCAAACGACACCUUGGCAAGUUCAUCGCACUGAAGAAGGUUCCAGCCAAGCGGGACUGCCUGCUGUGUAUUGACAAAGAGUGUCCAGCCCUAAGAGCGCGGACAUGGAAAGACGUGAAAUAUUUUAUUUACAAUGAAAUUGUUAAAAUCAAGAGAAAGCUUGCAUUCUGAAUUAACAGAAUACAACAGAGGGAGGAAACUGAGAUGAGGGGCUGGAAUUAGGGAGAGAAGAGGGAGAGAGUAAGAGGGUAAUUAUUCCUGUCUUUUAAUGGCUUCGUUAUUGUCUGUUCAUAUGUUCAUUUGUUAGACACUUUAGCCAUGCCCUACAGCACAGCAAUUUUUUUUUUCCAUGAUAAUUUGUGUUGAGCAGGCACUGACACCUGCCGUUUAUUACCUUUCAGAAAGAUGUCUCAGGAUACACCUGGAUGUUCUAUAUUGUUCAGCGCUUGAUUUAGACGGUCGCGGCGAGCGCCGGGAAUCAUGGGAGGUUGAUGACAUCAUACAAAGUGGCUGCCCCCAUGAAGAAAAC